GGUGCCGUAGUGUAGCUUGGUUAUCACAUAAGGCUGGGGGCCUUAUAACCCCGAUUCAAAUUCGGGCGGUGCCA
rnacentral:tRNA from 1 species